UGGGGCUUCUGCUUGUCAAAUAGCAUGCCAAACUAGACUUCGUCCAGGUGGGAUACUCUAUGAAACACUUCGACACCACUGAGAUGCAGGGGUGCAUAGUUUUUCUCUAUCUUAUUUCUCUUGAAACUUCCCACUGCUUUUGAAAAGGAUGAUGCUCGGGGAAGAAUUGAUGAUGACAAUAAAACCGUAAGACUUACGACCAUAC
rnacentral:lncRNA from 1 species